GAUUUUGGGAAGAAAGAAAAUCCUUUCGAGAUUAUUUGUCUCUAAGAAUUGGUGGCUUGAUAUUUGCAGUGGUCCUCUGCCUCCUGGGCAUCAUCCUCGUGGCCAGCAGAAAAUGUUCCUGUAAGAAAAAAGACAAGUCUCG